CACUAAGAAGCUUACAAACAAGCAACAGCCUUUUAAGCUGUAGAUCGGUGAUUUGGCCCACCCUUAGUGA
rnacentral:tRNA from 1 species